CCUACGGGUGGCAGCAGUAGGGAAUAUUGCUCAAUGGGGGAAACCCUGAAGCAGCAAAGCCGCGUGGAGGAUGAAGGUUUUAUGAUUGUAAACCCCUUUUGUUAGAGAAGUUUAUGACGGUAUCUAACGAAUAAGCACCGGCUAACUCCGUGCCAGCAGCCGCGGCAAUACGGAGGGUGCAAGCGUUACUCGGAAUCACUGGGCGUUAAGGGUGCGUAGGCGGGGUAAUAAGUCAGUUGUGAAAUCCUGUAGCUUAACUACAGAACUGCAGUUGAAACUGUCACUCUGGAGUGUGGGAGAGGUAGGUGGAAUUCUUGGUGUAGGGGUAAAAUCCGUAGAGAUCAAGAGGAAUACUCAUUGCGAAGGCGACCUGCUGGAACAUUACUGACGCUGAGGCACGAAAGCGUGGGGAGCAAACAGGAUUAGAUACCCGUGUAGUC
rnacentral:rRNA from 1 species